GAUGAACGCUGGCGGCGUGCCUAAUACAUGCAAGUCGAGCGAACGGACGAGAAGCUUGCUUCUCUGAUGUUAGCGGCGGACGGGUGAGUAACACGUGGAUAACCUACCUAUAAGACUGGGAUAACUUCGGGAAACCGGAGCUAAUACCGGAUAAUAUUUUGAACCGCAUGGUUCAAAAGUGAAAGACGGUCUUGCUGUCACUUAUAGAUGGAUCCGCGCUGCAUUAGCUAGUUGGUAAGGUAACGGCUUACCAAGGCAACGAUGCAUAGCCGACCUGAGAGGGUGAUCGGCCACACUGGAACUGAGACACGGUCCAGACUCCUACGGGAGGCAGCAGUAGGGAAUCUUCCGCAAUGGGCGAAAGCCUGACGGAGCAACGCCGCGUGAGUGAUGAAGGUCUUCGGAUCGUAAAACUCUGUUAUUAGGGAAGAACAUAUGUGUAAGUAACUGUGCACAUCUUGACGGUACCUAAUCAGAAAGCCACGGCUAACUACGUGCCAGCAGCCGCGGUAAUACGUAGGUGGCAAGCGUUAUCCGGAAUUAUUGGGCGUAAAGCGCGCGUAGGCGGUUUUUUAAGUCUGAUGUGAAAGCCCACGGCUCAACCGUGGGGGGUCAUUGGAAACUGGAAAACUUGAGUGCAGAAGAGGAAAGUGGAAUUCCAUGUGUAGCGGUGAAAUGCUCAGAGAUAUGGAGGAACACCAGUGGCGAAGGCGACUUUCUGGUCUGUAACUGACGCUGAUGUGCGAAAGCGUGGGGAUCAAACAGGAUUAGAUACCCUGGUAGUCCACGCCGUAAACGAUGAGUGCUAAGUGUUAGGGGGUUUCCGCCCCUUAGUGCUGCAGCUAACGCAUUAAGCACUCCGCCUGGGGAGUACGACCGCAAGGUUGAAACUCAAAGGAAUUGACGGGGACCCGCACAAGCGGUGGAGCAUGUGGUUUAAUUCGAAGCAACGCGAAGAACCUUACCAAAUCUUGACAUCCUUUGACAACUCUAGAGAUAGAGCCUUCCCCUUCGGGGGACAAAGUGACAGGUGGUGCAUGGUUGUCGUCAGCUCGUGUCGUGAGAUGUUGGGUUAAGUCCCGCAACGAGCGCAACCCUUAAGCUUAGCUGCCAUCAUUAAGUUGGGCACUCUAAGUUGACUGCCGGUGACAAACCGGAGGAAGGUGGGGAUGACGUCAAAUCAUCAUGCCCCUUAUGAUUUGGGCUACACACGUGCUACAAUGGACAAUACAAAGGGCAGCGAAACCGCGAGGUCAAGCAAAUCCCAUAAAGUUGUUCUCAGUUCGGAUUGUAGUCUGCAACUCGACUACAUGAAGCUGGAAUCGCUAGUAAUCGUAGAUCAGCAUGCUACGGUGAAUACGUUCCCGGGUCU
rnacentral:rRNA from 1 species